GCAAGAGCAGGCAUAGGAGCCGCAGUUGGGAGAGGCAUAGCACAGAGCAGCGCCUCUCCCAACCGCGACUCCUGUGCCUGCCCUUGC